AUGGCGGGUGUCUCAGGCACUGUUCAGUGGUGGGAGGAGUCGCAACUACGCAUCCUCGUCAUUGCUAGCCUGGUGAUUCAGUACAUCCUCCUCGUCGGUUCCGUCGCGCGUAGGUACCCCAUCAGAUCCUGGUUUAGACCCAUCAUCUGGCUGGCAUACAUUGGCAGUGAUGCCAUUGCCAUCUAUGGGCUCGCCACCCUCUUCAACCGCCAUAGGAAGCCACAAAACGAUGGAGAUGAAGGAACUAUGGGCUCGGCACAUAGCAUGCUGGAGCUGUUGUGGGCGCCUAUCCUCCUGAUACACCUCGGUGGACAGGACGGCAUAACCGCCUACAACAUCGAGGACAACGAGCUAUGGACGCGGCACAUCCUCACCUCAGUGUCUCAGGUCACCGUGGCUGUCUACGUCUUCUGGAAAUCAUGGCCAAGCAACGACUGGAUGCUGCUGAACGCGGCAGUGUAUCUCUUCGCCAUUGGUAUCCUCAAAUGCUUUGACCAGCCAUGGGCUCUCAAUAGAGCUAGCAUUAACAGCCUGGUGAGCUCCGGUGACCCUAUUCGGAGGUCAAUACACACACAUAAGCUCAAGAUUGACCCUCUUGAAGAUUUCAUUGACAAGGCAACAAGUCCUAUCGGGGCAAAUGAGUAUCUUUUAACAUCGGCCACACCGGUGGACUUUACUCCUUAUGAGCUAUUUGUGGACCUUGCAUCUCCGUCUGUUGAAGAUCGGAUUAGGGUGCUACUCUCCUUCUCAACACUUGAUGGCAACCAUGCGUAUUGUAAGCUGCAACAUUGGCUCUCCAACACCUUCCUACUCCUCUACACCAAAGGAAAGGUGUUUUCCAUGGCUUCUCUCGGACAAGUUUUUCCCUUAUUCGCUUCCCGAAAUUACUUCGAACAUAGGGCGCAACUAGCAGGAAUAUUUGUUUAUUCUCUCCGUUUAUUAGUUUUAUACAUUCCAGCCAUAGCCUGCUUCCACUACAGUAACCGAGAAGUUUAUAGUCAAGACGAUGUCAAGAUUACAUAUACCUUGCUAUACUGUACUGCUGCAUUGGAGGUUCUAGGCCCGGUCCUAACGAACAUGACAAGGGACACAGAAGAAUUCUGUCAAAGGUCAACAGAUAUGGUGUCAACAUAUGAGGGGCCUAUAUAUCAUGAUAUGGUUUCCCAAUACAACAUUGUAGGACUCCUUGUCCGCAACAGGAACCAUUCCAAGAUGAUGAGGGUCGUCGGAGUUUUGGGAUGCGCCGACUUCCUUCAGCAACAUUGGCACAUGAAGUCUUGCUCCUCAUCCUUCAGCAUUACAAAGUUAGUGCUCCAGUAUGUGAAAGAUGGCUGGAAGCACCAUAUCAAAGAUGUUUCUAGUUACAGGAAGUUCAAUGACAACAGGGGCCAGUUUACUCUUGGGCAUGAAGGGUGUUACGAGGACUUGGGAUGGAGCUUGGACGGUGCAUUCGACGAGAGUGUGCUUCUUUGGCAUCUCGCCACGGAUUUCUGCUACUACGACACGGUUGUAUCUCGUUCUCACCACGUACUGCUGUGCACGCAAGAUUCAUGUCCUCAUGCUUAUGCAUGCCCUGCUUGGUGCAAAAGAUCCGGUCAUCACAAGAGGGCCAUCCAGUGCAGAGAAAUGUCCAACUACAUGAUGUAUCUACUGUUUUUGAAUCCUGAAAUGCUAAUGGCAGGCACCAGAAGAAACCUUUGCACGACCGCCUACGAUGAAUUGAAGGACAUUGUCGAGGAAAGAGAGAAAAUAGAUGGCACCAGCGUCGAAGGAGACGAGGAAAUAGGGCUUACACAGAUGAUAUAUGCUACAGUUGAUGGUUGUACCCAGCAGCAACAGGGAGGAAUUGUCCGUGACGCUUGGAGUAUUGCCAAAGUGUUGUCCAAUCUGCCUGAAGAGAAGAUGUGGGAUGUGAUAGAAGGUGUGUGGGUGGAGAUGUUGUGCUUCUCUGCCGCUAGAUGCAGAGGAUACCUGCACGCCAAGGGUCUGGCCACAGGCGUGGAGUACCUCACCUAUGUCUGGCUCCUAUUGUACUACAUGGGGAUGGAGACUUUGGCAGCCAAACUGCAGAGGGCGGAUCAUCAUUAUCACCACAACGGAGGAGAGCAUGGGGAUCGCCCUUCAAGUUCUCAUGUCAGCAGUGCCCAAGAGGAAGCAGCUGGUCCAUCAAGAUCAGAUGGUGGCGCCGAAGGUCAAUCUGCCGGUUACCAUGACAGUGAUGACAUAGUGGAAGAAAUGGUUUGA
rnacentral:rRNA from 1 species